rnacentral:lncRNA from 1 species
UGGAGAAGAAGCCCUCGGGCUGCUGAUGCCUUGCAGCUGGAGGGCAAGCAGGCUUCCCUCCCUGGUUCAAAAGGCUGCAGGGGAAGUCAGGAGGAACUUGGCUGAGAGGUUGGAGGUAGCCAGACAGUGAGAAAAGGGAAGAAGCCCAGGAUUCUAGAAGCACAAAGUGAGGCCACGAGCAGGAAAGGUGGGGACCAACUGAGGGAGGGAGAGGUGCUUUCCUGGGACCGGGAUGAGGCCAGAGGCCACUGCCAGAAAAGAUGCGUUCCCAGGCAGGCUUGACCCCACCUUCUUCUCACACGGCCUCUAAGCUGAUUCAGGGAAUAGC